UCGAACGAAGCACUUUAACCUGAUUCUUCGGAUGAAGGUUUUUGUGACUGAGUGUCGGACGGGUGAGUAACGCGUGGGUAACCUGCCUCAUACAGGGGGAUAACAGUUAGAAAUGACUGCUAAUACCGCAUAAGACCACGGAGCCGCAUGGCUCAGUGGGAAAAACUCCGGUGGUGUGAGAUGGACCCGCGUCUGAUUAGGUAGUUGGUGGGGUAACGGCCUACCAAGCCAACGAUCAGUAGCCGACCUGAGGGGGUGACCGGCCACAUUGGGACUGAGACACGGCCCAAACUCCUACGGGAGGCAGCAGUGGGGAAUAUUGCACAAUGGGGGAAACCCUGAUGCAGCGACGCCGCGUGAGCGAAGAAGUAUUUCGGUAUGUAAAGCUCUAUCAGCAGGGAAGAAAAUGACGGUACCUGACUAAGAAGCACCGGCUAAAUACGUGCCAGCAGCCGCGGUAAUACGUAUGGUGCAAGCGUUAUCCGGAUUUACUGGGUGUAAAGGGAGCGUAGACGGCUGUGUAAGUCUGAAGUGAAAGCCCGGGGCUCAACCCCGGGACUGCUUUGGAAACUAUGCAGCUAGAGUGUCGGAGAGGUAAGUGGAAUUCCCAGUGUAGCGGUGAAAUGCGUAGAUAUUGGGAGGAACACCAGUGGCGAAGGCGGCUUACUGGACGAUGACUGACGUUGAGGCUCGAAAGCGUGGGGAGCACACAGGAUUAGAUACCCUGGUAGUCCACGCCGUAUACGAUGACUACUA
rnacentral:rRNA from 1 species